rnacentral:rRNA from 1 species
CGUGUAGGCGGUUUGGCAAGUCGAGUGCGAAAUCCCACGGCUCAACCGUGGAACUGCGCUCGAAACUGCCUUACUUGAGUGCGGGAGAGGUGUGCGGAAUUCCUGGUGUAGCGGUGGAAUGCGUAGAUAUCAGGAAGAACACCGGUGGCGAAGGCGGCACACUGGCCCAGCACUGACGCUGAGGCGCGAAAGCGUGGGGAGCGAACG